CUUUUCAAGCUUGACAUCAAAAAAGCCUUCGACUCUGCUCGCUGGGACUAUCUCCUAGACCUUCUCAAACACCUUGGAGUUCCUCCGCGCUUUCGUGGUUGGGUCUCGACUCUCUUGGCUUCGGCAUCUUCGCGAGUCUUGCUCAACGGUAUUCUGGGCAACCCUAUCAAGCUUGGGAAGGGCUUGAGGCAAGGAGAUCCUCUAUCCCCC
rnacentral:rRNA from 1 species